rnacentral:rRNA from 1 species
AGUGAACGCUGGCGGUAGGCCUAACACAUGCAAGUCGAACGGCAGCACAGUAAGAGCUUGCUCUUACGGGUGGCGAGUGGCGGACGGGUGAGGAAUACAUCGGAAUCUACUUUUUCGUGGGGGAUAACGUAGGGAAACUUACGCUAAUACAGCAUACGACCUACGGGUGAAAGCAGGGGAUCUUCGGACCUUGCGCGAUUGAAUGAGCCGAUGUCGGAUUAGCUAGUUGGCGGGGUAAAGGCCCACCAAGGCGACGAUCCGUAGCUGGUCUGAGAGGCUGGUCAGCCACACUGGAACGUAGACACGCUCCAUACUCCUACGGGAGGCAGCAGUGUGGAAUAUUGGACAAUGGUCGCAAGCCUGAUCCAGCCAUACCGCGUGUGUUAAGAAGGCCUUCGGGUUGUAAAGCCCUUUUGUUGGGAAAGAAAAGCAGCAGGUUAAUACCCCGCUGUUCUGACGGUACCCAAAGAAUAAGCACCGGCUAACUUCGUG